UCGGUGCCGCAGCUAACGCAUUAAGUACUCCGCCUGGGAAGUACGCUCGCAAGAGUGAAACUCAAAGGAAUUGACGGGGACCCGCCCAAGUAGCGGAGCAUGUGGUUUAAUUCGAAGCAACGCGAAGAACCUUACCUAAGCUUGACAUCCCAAUGACCUCUCCUUAAUCGGAGAGUUCCCUUCGGGGACAUUGGUGACAGGUGGUGCAUGGUUGUCGUCAGCUCGUGUCGUGAGAUGUUGGGUUAAGUCCCGCAACGCGCGCAACCCUUGUCUUUAGUUGCCAUC
rnacentral:rRNA from 1 species